AGCUGUCACCCAGAACCGCUGGAUGCGCCCGGGAGCUCCCCGCCUCACGCCUGUGCCGGCCUUCCUGGGAUACGCGGAGCGAGUGGAGCCUGCGCAGUUAGCCUCAGAGGACCUCCGUGUGGGAGUCUGCGGGCACCGCCGGUGCUCGUUGCGCCCCUCCGCUCCGAUCGUGGUCUUCCAUAUUGCCGCUGUUUUCCGCUCCGGUUCUGCAGGCUGCGCGCUCUGUUCCACGGCAAACAGGGCUCGCCGCAGAGAUGGUUACCGAGCUCUCAACGUUCCUUUAACGUUUACUUCCUCAGUGCUGUCAAAUUUGCGUUGCAAAUUCAAUAUGACCAAUUUGCUUUCGGAUGCUGACACAGAAAGGCUCAAAAGAGAAUCCUGACAAGACUGGGUCCAUUGAACACUGCAGUACACAAAUACAUGGUAAAAAAAUAUUCAAGAUGCAAAUACAGGCUUAGAAAAUGUGAGUUACAAUUUUUUACUGGCAUCUCUCUAUGCUUAAUAGGAACUCAGCAUUCCAGAAUACUGCAAGAUGUUGCCUUGCAUUUUUGUUUUGAGAGUUCUGCUUGUCCAGAUGAUCAGAUUUCUGCUUUCCUACCUAUUAUUGUGUAUCUACGUCAAUUGUUAGUCAACACUGAAAAUGAUAAUCCUGUGGGAGGUGAAAAUCUGGCACCAGUAUUCCCUCAGCAGUGUGGAUUAGGUUACAGCCCAUCACAUCACCGUACACGUUGUGCCAGUCUAAGAAGGAUUGAAAGAACAAUUAUUAAUAGAAUUAUGAAAAAAAACAAGGCCCAGUUUGGUGGGAUGUCAAGGAAAAAAUCCUGAUAGGAUCAAACCCUCACUGGCACCAGAAACACUUUAUUUUUAAGGACUUGGAAGGUUUCAGUAAGUGAAAGACUGACACCAGGUUGCUACAACAACAUGUGGAAGUCAUGUUGCUGGAGGCCAAAAGACUGAAAACCUUCCACUUUUCCCUACAAUCAAGAAGCAAUGUAUAAAAUAAAAUAAAAAUAAAAUAAAAUAAAAUAAAAUAA
rnacentral:lncRNA from 1 species